rnacentral:lncRNA from 1 species
CCCUCUCCUAUCAGUAAUUUUGGAGUUUUGUCAUCCUUCUUUUCCAGCUGCUUCCCAGAGCUGCCAUCUAGGGUGGCUCCAUCACUCAUCUGCAGAUUCCUUGUCGAUUCCAGCAGACUCCAGCAGUCCCUUCAGCUCCAUGUGUCAUGUUGCUAGCCAACAUCCUUAUUGGGAGAAACUUGAAAAUGGGCCAGAAAGGCAGAAGGGUCAAAAGGAUGCUGUCAGAGGGAUUUGACCUUUCAGCUGAAGCUACCGACAAAGGUUUCCAUCUAAUGGUGAUUUUGGUGGCAGUUGCUGUGACAAGCCCAUCCAUCUACAGCCUUCUACCACUUGCAUCUUCCCAAUAACUGAAUACCCACUUCAUUAUUACGACCUGCACUGAGCAACAGAUUUUUAUGAGUUAACACCUGUGUAGCCCUCAGAGAAAGCCUGGACUUCUCUACUUCACUGUAAUAUAUUGGCUGCUGUCCUGCACUUUAUGGAGCAAAAUACCAGUGUUCAGUAUAACAAAUUCCCCACCAAAAUAAAUUAGUUUAGUGAUCAUCA